CUAGAGAUCCAACUGGUCAAAUCUCCAUCUUUCCAUCUCGGAAAUUUCACCUUUAUGUGUACGUAAUUUGUGUCACAAUCUUGGGGCCUUUUUCUUGUAUUUUUAGAUCUGUGCAACGUAGAACUUGAGCCCCCAUAUUGUUAAAAUUUGCUGAGGCUCUCUAGUAGGCUCUUUUUGAAAUCAUUAAGUGUUUCUUGCAGUCG
rnacentral:lncRNA from 1 species